GAGCAUGAGACAGCUGAAAAUGAAAUGGCAGAAGAUGGACAAACUGCUGAAGUUGAAACUAGAGGCAAGGAUGAGACAGUUACUGAAGACACUGCAGAAGUGCAUGAGAGAGUUGAAAAUGAAACUGUAGAAGGAAGACAAACUGAAGAUGAAACUAGAGAAGUUGAGACAAUAAACAACAACACUACAGAAGAGCAUGAGACAGCUGAAAAUGGAGAAACUGAUGAAGAUAAAACUGCAGAAGAAGGUGAGACGACUGAAGAUAAAACUUCAGAAGAUGGACAAACUGCUGAAGCAGAAACUGUUGGAGAGGAUGAAAUAACUGAAGAUGAAACUGAAGGGGAGGCUGAGGCAUCAGCCCAAAAUGAAUCUGAAGAAGGAGACACUGAGAGCAAUAUAGGUGAUGAUGAAACUGCAGAAAAGAGUGAGACAGCUGAUAACAACACUGUAGAAGAGCAUGAGAAGGCUGAGAAUAAAUCUGUAGAAGACGGACAAGUUGAAACUUCAAGAGAGAGUGAUUCAGGUGAGGAGGACACCGCAAAAGAGAGUGACACAGCUGAGGAUGAAAUGGCAGAAAAUGGCCAAACUGCUGAAGCAAGAGAGGGUGAGACAGAUGGUGAUGAACCAGCAGAAGAUGAGCAGAAUGCUGAAGAGAGUGAGACAGCUGAAGAUGAAACCGAAGCAGAGAGAGAUACUGCGGCGGGGACAUCGGAUGAAGAAAGAGGAACUGAGGUACAAAGAGCCAAUGAAGAUGAAGACAACACAGGUGAUGCAGGAACCACAGGAGGUGUGUCAGCUGAGGAAAAAGAGACUUCUGAAGUAGAAACAGCAGAUGAGAGGACCACUGAAGCUGAAACUGAGAUGUCUGAAGAGGAAGCUACUGUUGAAGAUAGCAACAAGGCUGAAGACAAGAAUGCUGUGGUAGAGUUGGCAGAGCAAACUCCUGAUCAUGAGACGACUGGAGAAGAGACGGACAAGAGUCAGUCAAACGAUGAGGAAGACAAGGAAACUGUCAGUUGUGAAGCAUUAGAGGAGGAUGUUCUUUCUAACAUUGAGGACACUGAGAGUCAUAAUGUCUUGACUAAUCUUGAGGUAAUUGAAGAUGAAACACCCCUUAAGAACAACGGUGACAUUGUUCUAGAUAGUGUUGAUGAUAAAGGUGAAGAAAGUGGAAAAGAAGAUGAUGAUGUGGAGGUAAUGGCAAACAGAGCUGGUUAUGUGGCCAACACUGGUGAAUCAGCUGAAGCUGGUGAUGAAGCUGAGGAUGACACUGAGCCAGAUGAAGGGGAGCAUAAUAGGAACACCCUACCUUUACAGCCUCUGUUACAGCCAAAACCAAAAGAUGACAAACCAGAUGGGACAACUUCAAUUAAUGUUUUGGUAAUGCACAAUUCAGAGUUCGAAGAUGGUGCUGAUGCUGAUGGAGAAGACUCAGAAACAGAAGAACACAACCAAGUCAUAGAUUUGAGUUCUGAGUCAGAGAGCAAGCCACAGAGGAAAACUGCACAUAAAACCUUCAAGAUGCUCGUUCACACUCUGAAUUUCCUCAAACUCUCAGCCACUGGACUACCUAAGGGCAGGGAAGAGGAUAAUGAACAUGAGGUUGAAGAUAAAGAGACUCCAGAAGACGGCAGUGAUGAUGCAGAAGAGAGUUCCUGUGUGGAGAAAGAUGAGGUGGAAGAGAAUGGAAAGGAGAAGGUCAAACUCUCAGAUAUUACAGAGGAUACAUCCGAAGGUCAGGAGGACCAGACAAAUGAGACUAGUGAUGAUUCAGAGGACCAUGAAUGGGAAUCAUCUGAAAAUUCCUUGCAAAAGCAGAUAACAAAGUCAUCCCUGGAAUCUCAGCCAGGUUCCUUUGAGGAAGUUCAUGAGGAACAGGCAAAAAAUUAGAAAGGUUUAAAUCAUCUGAAAGCCAACUGGUAGAAUCCUUCUUCAGCAUAAAAGAAAAGAACCAAAGAUGCUCUUUAGCAUGUAAAAUGGUUUCAGAGGGGUUAUUUCUCUAGUAUCCUUAGACCUUAUAAUAAUUAGCAUAAGUUUUUAAUAGCCCUUUGGAUUCCUUAUCUUAUUUACCAAAGAGUAACAUAUAA
ensembl:lncRNA